rnacentral:rRNA from 1 species
GACGAACACUGGCGGCGUGCCUAAUACAUGCAAGUCGACCUUAGUGGCGAACGGGUGAGUAACACGUGGGUAACCUGCCCAUCAGAAGGGGAUAACACUUGGAAACAGGUGCUAAUACCGUAUAAUGAUGGAUGGACCCGCGGUGCAUUAGCUAGUGGGUGAGGUAACGGCUCACCAAGGCCACGAUGCAUAGCCUACCUGAGAGUGUGAUCAGUCACACUGGAACUGAGAAACGGUCCAGACUCCUACGGGAGGCAGCAGUGGGGAAUAUUGGACAAUGGGCGAAAGCCUGAUCCAGCCAUGCCGCGUGUGUGAAGAAGGUCUUCGGAUUGUAAAGCACUUUAAGUUGGGAGGCGUUACCAACAGAAUAAGCACCGGCUAACUUCGUGCCAGCCGCCGCGGUAAUUC